rnacentral:rRNA from 1 species
UACGUAGGUGGCAAGCGUUGUCCGGAUUUACUGGGCGUAAAGAGCGCGCAGGCGGCCGAUUAAGUCGAAUGUGAAAUCCCUCGGCUCAACUGAGGAACUGCACGGGAUACUGGAAGACUUGAGUUCGGGAGAGGGAAGCGGAAUUCCGGGUGUAGCGGUGAAAUGCGUAGAUAUCCGGAGGAACACCGGUGGCGAAGGCGGCUUCCUGGACCGAUUACUGACGCUGAGGCGCGAAAGCUAGGGGAGCAAACGGG